AUUGAACGCUGGCGGCAUGCCUUACACAUGCAAGUCGAACGGCAGCACGGGAGCAAUCCUGGUGGCGCGUGGCGAACGGGUGAGUAAAGUAUCGGAACGUGCCCAGUCGCGGGGGAUAACGUGGCGAAAGUUACGCUUAUACCGCAUACGAUCUAUGCAUGAAAGCGGGGGAUGGCACGACCUCGCGCGCUUGUAACGGCGGAUAUCAGAUUAGGUAGUUGGUGGGGUAAAGGCUCACCAAGCCGACGAUCUGUAGCUGGUCUGAGAGGACGACCAGCCACACUGGGACUGAGACACGGCCCAGACUCCUACGGGAGGCAGCAGUGGGGAAUUUUGGACAAUGGGCGAAAGCCUGAUCCAGCCAUGCCGCGUGCAGGAUGAAGGCCUUCGGGUUGUAAACUGCUUUUGUACGGAACGAAAAGGUUUGGCCUAAUAAGCUGAGCUCAUGACGGUACCGUAAGAAUAAGCACCGGCUAACUACGUGCCAGCCGCCGCAGUAA
rnacentral:rRNA from 1 species